GACGAACGCUGGCGGCGUGCUUAACACAUGCAAGUCGAACGGCAAGGCCCUGCUUUUGUGGGGUGCUCGAGGGGCGAACGGGGGAGUAACACGAGAGUAACCUGCCCUUGACUUUGGGAUAACUUCAGGAAACUGGGGCUAAUAUCGUACAGGAUCUCCUGCUGCAUGGUGGGGGUUGGAAAGUUUCUGCGGUUGGGGAUGGACUCGCGGCUUAUCAGCUUGCUGGUGGGGUAGUGGCUUACCAAGGCUUUGACGGGUAGCCGGCCUGUGAGGGUGGACGGCCACCAUGGGACUGAGAUACGGACCAGACUCCUACGGGGGGCAGCAGUGGGGAAUAUUACACAGUGGGCGGAAGCCUGAUGCAGCAACGCCGCGUGCGGAAUGACGGCCUUCGGGUUGUGAACCGCUUUCGCCUGUGACGAAGCGUGAGUGACGGUAAUGGGUAAAGAAGCACCGGCUAACUACGUG
rnacentral:rRNA from 1 species